CAGUCAAAAUGUCAGAGUUCAUACCCAGGUCCCUGCUGAUGGAGCUCUGACCCGUGAGGCUCCCGGGGCCGAGUGGGCAGGGACAUGGGAACGGGCCAGGGCUGACAGGGACGUCUGGACGUGCAUUCAUCCACUCUGGUUAGACAGUUCUCUUCGGAGGAGAGCAUUCCACUGUUGUAAAUUAUACCUCAAUUAAAAAAAAAAAAUUUUAAAUGCGUAAGGUCAAAUUUCUUUCUGGUCCACCCAUGGUCCAAUGUCCAAGGACUAAACAAACUCAGCUUGAGACAGCACAAGACCCUCCGUCUGCGGUGGAAAUUCACAAGUCCCUGACUAGGGACUAUCCAGCCAGUCUGUCCGCAGGUGAUUUUCCAGAUAAUGGCAUUACCAAAUCACACCAGAAACUUCCUCACUCAGAUGACGCCUACGAUGUCCACCAGGCUAUAAUCAGAGCAGACAAUGACGAGUGGUGACAAGUAUGUGGAGAAACUGGAAUUUUCGUAAGUCACUGUAGGUGCAGCCAUUUUGGAAGAGUUUGGCAUAUUCUUAUAGUUCGUACUAGAAGAUGUACACCUACCACACUCCUAGGAUCCCACUCAAGAGAAAUAAAAUACACAUCCACAAAGACUUGCACGGAAAUAUCCACAGAAGCGUUAUUCGUACUAGCUCAACGCCAAAAAUGACCCAAAGUCCCUAGGCUGAAGGAUGGAUGGCAGCGCUGACACUUGAUACGGGCUGCUCCCGGGCGAGCCUCAGAAGCAUUACGCUAAGGGAAAAAUGCCAGACCAAAGAUUCUCAAAUGUCCUUGUUAUCAAGUUUACCAUCUUACUCAUCUCCUUAAUGUGUUAAAUGAAUCUUUGACCCAUGGUCAUUAAAAAAAGGUAAAUGCA